rnacentral:rRNA from 1 species
GGUGACGAGCGGCGGACGGGUUGAGUAAUGUCUGGGAAACUGCCUGAUGGAGGGGGAUAACUACUGGAAACGGUAGCUAAUACCGCAUGCGCCCUACGGGGGAAAGCAGGGGACCUUCGGGCCUUGCGCGAUUGGAUAUGCCCAGGUGGGAUUAGCUAGUUGGUGAGGUAAUGGCUCACCAAGGCGACGAUCCCUAGCUGGUCUGAGAGGAUGAUCAGCAACUGGAACUGAGACACGGUCCAGACUCCUACGGGAGGCAGCAGUGGGGAAUAUUGCACAAUGGGGGAAACCCUGAUGCAGCUAUGCCGCGUGUGUGAAGAAGGCCUUCGGGUUGUAAAGCACUUUCAGCGAGGAGGAAAGGUCAGUAGCUAAUACCUGUGACUGUGACGUUACUCGCAGAAGAAGCAUCGGCUAACUCCGUGCCAGCAGCCGCGGUAAUACGGANGGUGCAAGCGUUAAUCGGAAUUACUGGGCGUAAAGAGACACGCAGGCANGUUGGAUAAGUUAGAUGUGAAAGGACACAGGGAUACAACUGGGAAUUGCAUUUAGAAAAUGUANCAGCUAGAAGUCUUGUAGAGGGGNGGUAGAAUUCCAGGGUGU